UAUAAUCUUAUUAACCAUUGGGACCCUGAUAAAUUAAUUUUUAAAAAAGAAUUUCUCAGGGCUGCCAACCUCACAGUAGAGUUUGAGUAAAAGUAUAUUUCUCCUACGAGA